rnacentral:rRNA from 1 species
UACGAGGGGGGCAAGCGUUGUUCGGAAUUAUUGGGCGUAAAGGGUGCGUAGGCGGCCUGACAAGUCUGAUGUGAAAUCCCUGGGCUCAACCCAGGGCCUGCAUCGGAAACUGUCGGGCUUGAGUAUGGGAGAGGUGAGUGGAAUUUCCGGUGUAGCGGUGAAAUGCGUAGAUAUCGGAAGGAACACCAGUGGCGAAGGCGAGUCCCUGGACAACUUCUGACGCUGAGGCACGAAAGCUAGGGGAGCAAACAGG